rnacentral:rRNA from 1 species
UACGUAGGGUGCGAGCGUUGUCCGGAAUUAUUGGGCGUAAAGGGCUCGUAGGCGGUUUGUCGCGUCGGGAGUGAAAUCCACUGGCUUAACUGGUGGCUUGCUUUCGAUACGGGCAGACUGGAGGUAUGCAGGGGAGAACGGAAUUCCUGGUGUAGCGGUGAAAUGCGCAGAUAUCAGGAGGAACACCGGUGGCGAAGGCGGUUCUCUGGGCCGAUACUGACGCUGAUACGCGAAAGCGUGGGGAGCAAACAGG